GAUGAAGAACGCAGCGAAAUGCGAUACGUAAUGUGAAUUGCAGAAUUCAGUGAAUCAUCGAAUCUUUGAACGCAUAUUGCGCUCUCUGGUAUUCCGGAGAGCAUGCUUGUUUGAGUAUCAGUAAACACCUCAACUUCCAUAUCUUUUUUGAAAUGGGAGUUGGACUUGAGUGAUCUCAACGCUUUUCCUCACCGAAAAGUGGCGGGUUACUUGAAAUGCAGGUGCAGCUGGACUUUUCUCUGAGCAAUAAGCAUAUCUAUUUAGUCUGCCUAAAAACAGAUUAUUACCUUUGCUGCAGCUAACAUAAAGGAGAUUAGUUCUUGUGCUGACUGAUGCAGGAUUCACAAAGACAGGCUUCGGCCGACUUUGUAAACUCGAUCUCAAAUCAAGUAAGACUACCCGCUGAACUUAAGCAUAUCAAUAGCGGAGGA
rnacentral:misc_RNA from 1 species